AGAGUUUGAUCAUGGCUCAGGACGAACGCUGGCGGCGUGCCUAACACAUGCAAGCCUGGGAGAAGUGAGUAGCAAUACUUAUUGUAAACCGGCGCACGGGUGAGUAAUAUAUAGGUAACCUGCCCUUUGGUUUGGAAUAACUCGUCGUAAGGCGAGCUAAUACCGAACGAUGCAGCGGCCCCACAUGGGGAUGUUGUUAAAGCCUUCGGGCGCCAAAGGAUGGGCCUGUAUCCCAUUAGAUAGUUGGCGAGGUAACGGCUCACCAAGUCUAUGAUGGGUAGCUGAUCUGAGAGGAUGAUCAGCCACACUGGAACUGAGACACGGUCCAGACUCCUACGGGAGGCAGCAGUGAGGAAUAUUGCGCAAUGGAUGAAAGUCUGACGCAGCGACGCCGCGUGGAGGAUGAAGGCCCUUUGGGUUGUAAACUCCUGUAGAGUGGGAAGAAUAUCCCUUUUGAAGGGUUUGACGGUACCACUAAAGUAAGGAUCGGCUAACUACGUGCCAGCAGCCGCGGUAAUACGUAGGAUCCGAGCGUUGUCCGGAAUUACUGGGUGUAAAGGGAGCGCAGGCGGGUUUGUAAGUCGACGGUGAAAUCUUCCAGCUCAACUGGAAAACUGCCGCCGAUACUGCAGAUCUUGAAUAUGUCAGAGGGAAACGGAAUUCAUGGUGUAGCGGUGAAAUGCGUAGAUAUCAUGAAGAACACCAGUCGCGAAGGCGGUUUCCUGGGACAUUAUUGACGCUCAUGCUCGAAAGUGUGGGGAGCAAACAGGAUUAGAUACCCUGGUAGUCCACACCUUAAACGAUGAAUACUAGGUGUCGGGGCGAAAGUCUCGGUGCCAAAGCUAACGCAUUAAGUAUUCCACCUGGGGAGUACGAUCGCAAGGUUGAAACUCAAAGGAAUUGACGG
rnacentral:rRNA from 1 species